rnacentral:rRNA from 1 species
AGAGUUUGAUCCUGGCUCAGGAUGAACGCUAGCGACAGGCUUAACACAUGCAAGUCGAGGGGCAGCGGGGGCGUAGCAAUAUGCCUGCCGGCGACCGGCGCACGGGUGAGUAACACGUAUGUAACCUGCCCUAUGCAGGGGGAUAACCCGGAGAAAUCCGGCCUAAUACCGCGUAACACCUUAGGGGAGCAUUCUCUUGAGGUUAAAGGAGAGAUCCGGCAUAGGAUGGACAUGCGUCGCAUUAGGUAGACGGCGGGGUAACGGCCCACCGUGCCGACGAUGCGUAGGGGUUCUGAGAGGAAGGCCCCCCACACUGGUACUGAGACACGGACCAGACUCCUACGGGAGGCAGCAGUGAGGAAUAUUGGUCAAUGGCCGAGAGGCUGAACCAGCCAAGUCGCGUGAGGGAAGAAUGUCCUAAGGAUUGUAAACCUCUUUUGUCGGGGAGCAAAAAGGCUCUGCGGAGUCGUAUUGAGAGUACCCGAAGAAAAAGCAUCGGCUAACUCCGUGCCAGCAGCCGCGGUAAUACGGAGGGUGCGAGCGUUAUCCGGAUUUAUUGGGUUUAAAGGGUGCGCAGGCGGCGUGUCAAGCAAGCGGUAAAAUAGCGGGGCUCAACCCCGUCGAGCCGUUUGAACUGGCGCGCUUGAGUUCAGGCGAGGUAGGCGGAAUUCCGUGGUGUAGCGGUGAAAUGCAUAGAUAUCACGAAGAACUCCGAUUGCAAAGGGAGCUUACCAGUCUGUGACUGACGCUCAGGCACGAAAGUGUGGGUAUCGAACAGGAUUAGAUACCCUGGUAGUCCACACAGUAAACGAUGAGCGCUAGGUGUCCGGGUCGCAUGAGACUUGGGUGCCCGAGCGAAAGCGUUAAGCGCUCCACCUGGGGAGUACGCCGGCAACGGUGAAACUCAAAGGAAUUGACGGGGGCCCGCACAAGCGGAGGAACAUGUGGUUUAAUUCGAUGAUACGCGAGGAACCUUACCCGGGCUCAAACGACUCAGGAAUAUAUUGGAAACGAUGUAGCCAGCAAUGGUCUGAGUCGAGGUGCUGCAUGGUUGUCGUCAGCUCGUGCCGUGAGGUGUCGGCUUAAGUGCCAUAACGAGCGCAACCCCUACCGCCAGUUGCCAACGGGUAAAGCCGGGAACUCUGGCGGGACUGCCGGCGCAAGCUGUGAGGAAGGCGGGGAUGACGUCAAAUCAGCACGGCCCUUACGUCCGGGGCGACACACGUGUUACAAUGGCAGGUACAGCGGGAAGCCACCUGGUGACAGGGAGCGGAACCCGAAAGCCUGUCUCAGUUCGGAUUGGAGUCUGCAACUCGACUCCAUGAAGCUGGAUUCGCUAGUAAUCGCGCAUCAGCCAUGGCGCGGUGAAUACGUUCCCGGGCCUUGUACACACCGCCCGUCA